rnacentral:rRNA from 1 species
GAGUAAUGUCUGGGAAACUGCCUGAUGGAGGGGGAUAACUACUGGAAACGGUAGCUAAUACCGCAUAACGUCGCAAGACCAAAGAGGGGGACCUUCGGGCCUCUUGCCAUCGGAUGUGCCCAGAUGGGAUUAGCUAGUAGGUGGGGUAACGGCUCACCUAGGCGACGAUCCCUAGCUGGUCUGAGAGGAUGACCAGCCACACUGGAACUGAGACACGGUCCAGACUCCUACGGGAGGCAGCAGUGGGGAAUAUUGCACAAUGGGCGCAAGCCUGAUGCAGCCAUGCCGCGUGUAUGAAGAAGGCCUUCGGGUUGUAAAGUACUUUCAGCGGGGAGGAAGGGAGUAAAGUUAAUACCUUUGCUCAUUGACGUUACCCGCAGAAGAAGCACCGGCUAACUCCGUGCCAGCAGCCGCGGUAAUACGGAGGGUGCAAGCGUUAAUCGGAAUUACUGGGCGUAAAGCGCACGCAGGCGGUUU